UUGCACGCUGGCGGCCGGCCUCACCCAUGCAAGUCGCACGGUAACAGGAAGAAGCUUGCUUCUUUGCUGACGAGUGGCGGACGGGUGAGUAAUGUCUGGGAAACUGCCUGAUGGAGGGGGAUAACUACUGGAAACGGUAGCUAAUACCGCAUAACGUCGCAAGACCAAAGAGGGGGACCUUCGGGCCUCUUGCCAUCGGAUGUGCCCAGAUGGGAUUAGCUAGUAGGUGGGGUAACGGCUCACCUAGGCGACGAUCCCUAGCUGGUCUGAGAGGAUGACCAGCCACACUGGAACUGAGACACGGUCCAGACUCCUACGGGAGGCAGCAGUGGGGAAUAUUGCACAAUGGGCGCAAGCCUGAUGCAGCCAUGCCGCGUGUAUGAAGAAGGCCUUCGGGUUGUAAAGUACUUUCAGCGGGGAGGAAGGGAGUAAAGUUAAUACCUUUGCUCAUUGACGUUACCCGCAGAAGAAGCACCGGCUAACUCCGUG
rnacentral:rRNA from 1 species